AACGAACGCUGGCGGCAUGCCUAACACAUGCAAGUCGAACGAGACCUUCGGGUCUAGUGGCGCACGGGUGCGUAACGCGUGGGAACCUACCCUUAGGUUCGGAAUAACUCCCCGAAAGGGGUGCUAAUACCGGAUAAUGUCUUCGGACCAAAGAUUUAUCGCCUUUGGAUGGGCCCGCGUUGGAUUAGCUAGUUGGUAGGGUAAAAGCCUACCAAGGCGACGAUCCAUAGCUGGUCUGAGAGGAUGAUCAGCCACACUGGGACUGAGACACGGCCCAGACAACGGCGGGAGGCAGCAGUGGGGGAGAGGGGAGAAGGGGCGAAGGUUUGAAACACCAGUGACCCGGGAAUGAGAAUGACAGUAGGGGGGGAAAACUCUCGGACCAGGCAGGUUAAUGACGGGAGGUAGAGGAUCAGAAGAGGAUAGCUGCGC
rnacentral:rRNA from 1 species